CCCCUCAGGCGGCGGCGGCGACGCGCGCGGGUAAGAAGUGGGCGGGGAACGCGGUCGGUGGCGCUGCGGGGCUGAGGGAGAGGCGGAGGGGGGGGCGGAGGGGGGCGGAGGGAGGGGCGGAAAGAGCAGAGGGAGGGGCACAGGGGGCUGAGGAGUGCUGGGUCGGGCUUCCAGCUCCCUACAACGCAGACCAGUACUGGAGUUCGUGGUGCUGGAAGACCGCCGCCCGACUCUGGGCCCCGGGUAGGAAACAACAAUUUCGGACCUCCUGGGGUCUAUGCUAGGUAUGAGGUGUAUCUUUGCCCUCCAUCAAGUAGCAAAGAUGGACAUGUAAACAAAUUUCGACACUGUGAUGACUGCCACAAAAAGCAGCAUUAUGAGGUUGAAUGUAAAAGGAUAACCUUAGCGGCGGCGGGGGCCGGAGGAUGAAGGAAGGCUUCCUGAGGUAGGCGCUGGUUGAAACUGAAGUUGGAGAGAGCAAGUGGCAUUUGCUGAAGUGCAUUUCCGGUAGAAAACUCCAGUGGUCCCUCACCUGACUGAGUGGCGCAGUCAGAGAUAAAUGGAACAGAGUCUACAAAUAAACAUUUUAUAAAGAUGAUCCUUCAAUACAUAUUCUACAGCCCAGUUAAAAUGUGAGAGGCCAUGAUCUACAGACAGCCAUUUAUAAAGGUGGAUCAGGGCCGGACACGGUGGCUCAACGUCUGUAAUCCCGGCACUGUGGGAGGCCAAAGCGGGAGGAUCGCUUGAGCCCAGGAGUUCGAGACCAACCUGGCCAACAUGGUGAGACCCCAUCUUUACAAAAAAAUAUAUAUAUCCAGGCAUAGUGGUGUGCACCUGUGGUCCUGUGGUCCCAGCUACUCAGGAAGCUGAGGCAGUUGAGGCUGCAGUGAGCCACGUUCUGGCCACUACACUCCAGCCUGGGCAUCAAAGUGACAAGACCAAAAAAAAAAAAAAAUGUGGAUUGGAAGGAGGCAAGAAAGAAGUCAGGAAAAGGGUGGAAUGUAAGUCCCUAAGGACACAAUCUUACUCACAAUUGUAUCUCCAACAUUUGGCAUAAUGCCUAAUACGUAAGUAUUUUAUGAAUUAAUUAAACGAGAACACAAGCCUAAAUUAAGGCAAUGGCAAUGGAGAAGAAGAAACCAACUUGAGAAAUAUUUAAAGGUCAUUGUCAAUGGAACUUAGUGACUUUAAUGGUUAAUUUUAUCUAUCAACUUGGCUAGGCGAUGCUACCCAUGUUACUCAGUUUUUGGUCAAACACUAGUCUAGUUGUUGCUAUGAAUUGUAUUUGUUAGAUGUGAUUAACAUUUAAAUCAGCAGACUUUGAUUAAAGUACAUUACCCUCUAUAAUGAGGGUGGGCCGCAUCCGGUCAGUUCAAAUUAAAACGAGACCCUUAAGAAGAAGCAAUUCAGCCUCCAGACUGCAGCGUCAAAUCUCCCUGGGUCUCCAGGCUGUUUGUCUGCCCUGCAGAUUUCAGACUUGCCAGCUCCCAGAAUAAUGUGAGCCAAUUCCUUAAAAUAAAUCUCUUUCUGCAUAUACACAUCCUAUUGAUUCUGUUUCUCUGGAGAACCCGUACUAAUAUAGUGUCUGACUAGAUAUGAAGGAGGAGGGGAAGGGAGAAAUAGAUAGACGAUGCCUUUGGAUAUUGAGUGACACUUAUCUAGUUGCUUAAGUCAAAAACCUGAAAACUGGUUAGGCACGCCUAUUACGGGCUCACGCCUGUAAUCCCAGCACUUAGGGAGGCUGAGGCAGGCAGAUCAUUUGAAGUAAUUCAAGACCAGCCUGGCCAACAUGAUGAAACCCCAAGACCACUAAAAAUACAAAAAUUAGCCGGGCGUGGUGGCACAUGCCUGUAACCCCAGCUCCUCAGGAGGCUAAAGCAGGAAAAUUGCUUGAACCCAGGAAACAGAGGUUGCAGUGAGCCGAGAUUGUGCUACUCCACUCCAGCCUGGGAGAGACUCCAUCUGAAAACAAACAACAAAAAAAAAUGCUGGGCACAGUGGCUCACGCCUGUAAUCCCAGCACUUUAGGAGGCUGAGGCGGGCGGAUCACCUGAGGUCAGGAGUUCAAGACCAGCCUGGCCAAUGUGGCAAACCCCAUCUCUACUAAAAAUAAAAAAAAAAUUAGCUGGGCAUGUUGGCGGGCACCGUAAUACCAGCUACUCGGGAAGAUGAGGCAGGAGAAUCACUUGAACCGGGAGGCAGAAGUUGCAGUGAGCUAAGAUCGCGCCAUUGCACUUUAGCCUGGGCGACGAGCGAAACUCCCUCUCAAAAAAAAAGAAGAAGGCUGGGCGCGGUGGCUCAUGCCUGUAAUCCCAGCACUUUGGGAGGCCGAGGUGGGUGGAUCACUUGAGGUCAGUAGUUCGAGACUAGCCUGGACAUGGUGAAACCUGUCUCUACUAAAAAUACAAAAAUUAGCCAGGUAUAGUGGCUCAUGCCUAUAAUUCCAGCUACUUGGGAGGUUGAGGCAGGACAAUGGUUUGAACCCAGGAGGCAGAGGUUGUAGUGAGCUGAGAUUGUGCCACUGCACUCCAGCCUGGAUGACACUCUAUCAAAAAAAAAAAAAAGAAAAGAAAAAAAAAAAAAAACUGGGGCAUGUGGGUUGAAGGUGCUAUGGAAAAAUUCAUGGGCUAUGUGUAUGCAGCAUUGUUUUCAAAGCAGAAAUUGAGAAUUUAUUUAUAGUGGUGUGCAUACUGCUUUUUCAAAUGAGGAAACAGGAAAACAAGGUUCUAGACCUAUGUAUUAGGGACUUCCUUUAGUCUGUAAAACUUGUGCCAGGCGUGGUGGCUCACACCUGUAAUCCCAGCACUUUGGGUGGCUGAGGCAGGUGGAUCACCUGAAGUCAGGAGUUCCAAGACCAGGCUGGCCAACCUGGUGAUACCCCCGUCUCUACUAAAAAUACAAAAAAAUAGCCGGAUGUGGUGGUGCACUCCUGUAAUCCCAGCUAUUUGGAAGGCUGAGGCAGGAGAAUCGCUUGAACCCAGGAGGCAGAGGUUGCAGUGAGCCAAGAUCAUGCCACUGCACCCAGCCUGGGCAACAGAGCGAGUCUCUGUCUCAAAACAAACACACAAAAAAACUUGUGAUUCACAGGUUAGUCUCUAGGGGAGCUCUAUAAUCACAAAGACAGUGACAGUAUUCCCAUUUUACAGAUGAGCAGACUAGGUAAUCAAUGUUUCUUAACAAAUUAACAUUAAAACUUCUGUCAGGAAGUUCCAGGCCAGGCACAGUGGCUCACAUCUAAAAUGCCGGCACUUAGGAAGGCUGAGGCAGGAGGAUCACUUGAGCUCAUUUCAAGACCAGCCUGGGCAACAUGGCAAGACUCCAUCUCUACAAAAAAUAAAAAAUUAGCUGGGCAUGGUGGCACACACCUGUA
rnacentral:lncRNA from 10 species